CGAUCUUCAGCCAACCUCACAUAAGCGGCAUUCUUUUCAACCGACAGAAUUAUAAUGCAUCACUCUCCAUAUUCUCAACCCUAUCAUUAAUCCGAGGAACACAUACUCCUAAAGUUCCAUUUGCAAAAUUAACCGUAUUACCAUCUGCGGUAUAAGUUAAGCUGCCAACAAUCAACCCAUUCAAUUGAGGGGAAGGGACGAUGGAGAGGCCAACGUCGGCGAGGGUUAGGGUUUCGGAAGUGGAGGCGGCAACGGAGGCCUUGAGGGUUUCAAGGAUGACGGAGUCAGGUUCGAGUUUGGAUUCCAUCAAGUCGAAAAUGGAAUCGCCGUUGUUUGCUCGCCGGACCGACGUUUGACGAGUGGAUUUGAAGAAAAUGAUACAACUGGUUGCAGGUUAAGGAGUAAAAAGAGGGCAAAGGAGAGGAGACAUUCAUAACACCACUGUGAGUGGCGAAAAUUUGAUUUUUUUUUUUGUUCGAAAAAACAACCAACAGAAACAAAGUUUGAAACACUAAAAAGACGAAAAUGCACAAAAAAAAAAAGGUUUCAAACUAUAAAUAUCGAGAUACAACAACUCUAUUUUCUUCAGGUCAAACAAAUUUUUGUAGCAUGGAGAUCAAAAGUAAAAUAAUGAGAUGAAUGGGUAGUGUAUUAUAUCAGCAAUAGUAAUAUAGUCAAUAAUUCUUUUUUUUUUCGUGAUUGUUUAUAUACAUUGACGGAGCCAGGAUUUGUAUUAAGUGAGUCAAAAUAUAAAAAAAUAAACUCGUCAAGAAAUUAAGGGUAUCAUUAUAUAGUAUAUAUACAUAUUUUAAAAAAAAUUACCAAGUUAAACAAUACCUUUUGAAUUAUUAAUUAUUGUGACUACAAUAUUUUUUAUGUAAUUUUUAAAUAUGUAAAUUUUAUUUAAAAAAUUUAAAGAUUCGUCAAAAUCAUAAUCAAAAUUUAACUAUCGAAAUCCGAACAAUGCCAAAUAAAUUGGGACCCAGGAAGUUAUAUUACAGUAUGGUCAAUGUUAUCAUGUGAAAAAAAAAACCUAAAAUUUAAAUCCGACUGUCAAAAGAUCUAGCUCUUCAGCAAUUUACUGUAAUGGAGUUGGAUUUAAAAUUCAACCAGUGUUUAAUUACAUUAGGAGAUAGUACGAGGUUUUUGAUUUCAUUCUAUUCUAAGCACGCAAAGUAUUUGCAUUCAUACACACAUAGGAAUUAUCCGAGAAGAUGAAUAUUUUGUUUUUUCUCCCCCUUUAAUUUUUGCUUUAGUCGUGUUGGGCUUUAAAGUGCUUACUGCAAUUGUAACGGUGGUUAAAGAAAUAAAAAAAGAACUUCUCUUUGGCUGCAGUACUAUAACUUCACUUCCAAGUUCAUUCAAAGGCACCAGUGAAUUUUCGGUAAGCAGUAUCAAUAUUUGAAAAAACGAUCGAAUAAAUAAAUCACUAUAAUAACAAGUGACGUCAUUUUUUAUAUUUAUACCUAAUAUUUUUAUUUUGUAUUACUAUCUAUAUAUACAUAUUUAAUAAAAAUUUUGACGAAACGGUG
rnacentral:lncRNA from 1 species